rnacentral:rRNA from 1 species
GGAGGCAGCAGUGGGGAAUUUUCCGCAAUGGGCGAAAGCCUGACGGAGCAACGCCGCGUGAGGGAGGAAGGUCUUUGGAUUGUAAACCUCUUUUCUCAAGGAAGAAGUUCUGACGGUACUUGAGGAAUCAGCCUCGGCUAACUCCGUGCCAGCAGCCGCGGUAAUACGGGGGAGGCAAGCGUUAUCCGGAAUUAUUGGGCGUAAAGCGUCCGCAGGUGGUCAGCCAAGUCUGCUGUCAAAUCAGGUUGCUUAACGACCUAAAGGCGGUGGAAACUGGCAGACUAGAGAGCAGUAGGGGUAGCAGGAAUUCCCAGUGUAGCGGUGAAAUGCGUAGAGAUUGGGAAGAACAUCGGUGGCGAAAGCGUGCUACUGGGCUGUAUCUGACACUCAGGGACGAAAGCUAGGGGAGCGAAAGGGAUUAGAUACCCCUGUAGUCCUAGCCGUAAACNNUGGAUACUAGGCGUGGCUUNUAUCGACC